AGUGAACGCUGGCGGUAGGCCUAACACAUGCAAGUCGAACGGCAGCACAGUAAGAGCUUGCUCUUACGGGUGGCGAGUGGCGGACGGGUGAGGAAUACAUCGGAAUCUACUUUUUCGUGGGGGAUAACGUAGGGAAACUUACGCUAAUACCGCAUACGACCUACGGGUGAAAGCAGGGGAUCUUCGGACCUUGCGCGAUUGAAUGAGCCGAUGUCGGAUUAGCUAGUUGGCGGGGUAAAGGCCCACCAAGUCGACGAUCCGUAGCUGGUCUGAGAGGAUGAUCGGCCACCCUGGAACUUAGACACGGUCCAGACUCCUACGGGAGGCAGCAGUGGGGAAUAUUGGACAGUGGGCGCAAGCCUGAUACAGCCAUACCGCGUGGGUGAAGAAGGCCUUCGGGUUGUAAAGCCCUUUUGUUGGGAAAGAAAAGCAGCAGGUUAAUACCCCGCUGUUCUGACGGUACCCAAAGAAUAAGCACCGGCUAACUUCGUG
rnacentral:rRNA from 1 species